GAAUUAUUGGGCGUAAAGCGUCUGUCGGCGGCAAUGCAAGUCUGGUGUGAAAUUUCAAUGCUUAACAAUUGAAUGCGUAUCGGAAACUGUAUUGCUAGAGUCUAAGAAGAGCCACUGGAAUUUCCGUUGUAGGGGUAAAAUCCGUAGAUAACGGAAGGAACACCAAAAGCGAAAGCAGGUGGCUGGCUUAGUACUGACGCUCAGAGACGAAAGCGUGGGGAGCGAACGGGAUUAGAUACCCCGGUAGUCCACGCUGUAAACGAUGAGUGCUAGGUAUUGGAGGGAUUUGACCCCCUUCAGUGCCCACAGCUAACGCGUUAAGCACUCCGCCUGGGGAGUACGGUCGCAAGACUAAAACUCAAAGGAAUAGACGGGGACCCGCACAAGCGGUGGAUCAUGUGGUUUAAUUCGACGAUAAGCGAGAAACCUCACCUAGACUUGACAUCUCGAGAAGGUUCUGGAAACAGAACUGUGCCGCAAGGAACUCGAUGACAGGUGCUGCAUGGUUGUCGUCAGCUCGUGCCCUGAGGUGUUCGGUUAAGUCCGUAAACGAGCGCAACCCUUGUCAUAUGUUGUAUUUCUCAUAUGAAACUGCCGGCUCCAAGCCGGAGGAAGGUAGGGAUGACGUCAAAUCAGCAUGGCCCUUAUGUCUAGGGCUACACACGUGAUACAAUGGGUCGUACAAUGGGUAGCCAAGGAGCAAUCCGGAGCCAAUCCCUAAAACGAUCCUCAGUUCGGAUUGAGGUCUGCAACUCGACCUCAUGAAGUUGGAAUCGCUAGUAACCGUGGAUCAUAACGCCACGGUGAAUAUGUUCCNCGGGUCUUGUACUCACCGCCCGUCACAUCACGGAAGGUGGAAGCACCCAAAGCACCCUUGAUAAUAGAGGGUACCACGGUGAUCCAUUGACUGGGAUGAAGUC
rnacentral:rRNA from 1 species